rnacentral:rRNA from 1 species
GAGGUCGAAACCCCCGCCAAAGGCACACUGCGUUCCUCAGUCCCCCAAGAUGUAUCCAGCAGAGAGCUAUAACACAGCCGAAACUGCUACCUUCUCUCUACCAUUAUCCAUCCCGGAAAACUGAUGCUGGCCUGCAAACCGAUUGCUCGGCAAGCAAGUCUGACUUCAAGCGUUUCCCUUCCAACAAUUUCACGUACUGUUAACUCUCUUUCCAAAGUGCUUUUCAUCUUUCCCUCACGGUACUUGUUCGCUAUCGGUCUCUCGCCAAUAUUUAGCUUUAGAUGGAAUUUACCACCCAAUUUGAGCUGCAUUCCCAAACAACUCGACUCUUCGAAAAUGUAUCACAAAGCGCUGGGCGUCCGCACCAUAUACGGGGGUCUCACCACUAUGCCGCUGUAUUCCAACAGACUUGUGUGCGGUCCAACGCGGAAAACAUUUCUAGAGAUUACAACUCGGACACCGAAGGUGCCAGAUUAUAAAUUUGAGCUCU